AUUGAACGCUGGCGGCAGGCCUAACACAUGCAAGUCGAACGAGUGGCGGACGGGUGAGUAAUGUCUGGGAAACUGCCUGAUGGAGGGGGAUAACUACUGGAAACGGUAGCUACUACCGCAUACCAUCAGGAUGGCCCAGAUGGGCUUAGCUUGUUGGUGGGGUAACGGCUCACCAAGGCGACGAUCACUAGCAGGGCUGAGAGGAUGACCAGCCACACUGGAACUGAGACACGGUCCAUACUCCUACGGGAGGCAGCAGUGGUGAAUAUUGCACAAUGGGCGCAAGCCUGAUACAGCCAUGCCGCGUGUAUGAAGAAGGCCGUCGGGUUGUAAAGUACUUUCAGCGUGGAGGCGUUACCCGCAGAAGAAGCACCGGCUAACUCCGUGCCAGCAGCCGCGGUAAUUC
rnacentral:rRNA from 1 species